rnacentral:rRNA from 1 species
AUUGAACGCUGGCGGCAGGCCUAACACAUGCAAGUCGAGCGGAUGAAGGGAGCUUGCUCCUGGAUUCAGCGGCGGACGGGUGAGUAAUGCCUAGGACUCUGCCUGGAAGUGGGGGAUAACGUCCGGAAACGGGCGCUAAAACCGCAUACGUCCUGAGGGAGAAAGUGGGGGAUCUUCGGACCUCACGUUAUCAGAUGAGCCUAGGUCGGAUUAGCUAGUUGGUGGGGUAAAGGCCUACCAAGGCGACGAUCCGUAACUGGUCUGAGAGGAUGAUCAGUCACACUGAGACUGAGACACGGUCCAGGCACCUACGGAAGGCAGCAGUGGGGAAUAUUGGACACUGGGCGAAAGCCUGAUCCAGCCGUGCCGCGUGUAUGAAGAAGGUCUUCGGAUUGUAAAGCACUUUAAGUGUGGAGGAAGGGCAGUAAGUUAAUACCUUGCUGUUUUGACGUUACCAACAGAAUAAGCACCGGCUAACUUCGUG